AGGGCAGGAAGACCUAGACAAGGAACUGCUUGAUCAUUGGCUGAGCGAUCCUGGCAACAAUACACUGCAACAGAUACCUGCACUGGUUGUAAGUCUCUAACAGCAACAGUUGUUUCUGUUCUCUGGAAACAAGCCUAGGAGCAGACACAAGUGUGAGCUCUGAGCCCACAAUCCUGGUUUGUCCUUGAAGUAUGAGGCUGGUGAUUGGAAUAACUGUUUUUCUGACCUUGGGGACUGUGAUUAAUGCUAAGAUCACCCAGCCCAGCUCCAUGGAUUGUGCUGAAGGAGAGGAUGUAAACCUGCCUUGUAACCACUCUACCAUUGGUGGAAAUGACUAUAUCCAUUGGUAUCGGCAAAAUCCCAAUCAGAGUCCACAGUAUGUCAUUUGUGGCUUACGAGGCACAGUGAACAGCAGCAUGGCCUCUCUGACCAUAGCUUCAGACAGAAAGUCCAGCACCUUGGUCCUGCCCCAGCUCACCCUGAGAGACGUCGCUGUGUACUACUGUGUCCUGAGAGAGGCACACUGGGACAGACGGGGCUGCACCUGUGCAGUAUCUCUGGUGGGAAGAUGGGGGGGCAGAGUUGGGGGAGCGGUCACGAGAGCAAAUCUAGAAUCAUUUGGAAGGAGAAUCAGAAGAGCAGUAAGACAUGAGGGAAAUGAAGGGAAGGGAAAUGGAAGAAGAUGGAUAAAGAAAAGAAGAGAAAGAGGACAAGGAAGAAGUGCUUCAUUGGUUGAUGUAGCUAUGAAUGAUAAGGAAACUAAGAAUCAUAAUUUUAACACAGGAAUAAAGUGAAGAGGUAUUAAUAGUUUGUCAUGGCUCCUCCUCGUGUCAAUAAAAUGUUGGUUUCAGUGUGUUAAAGAUGAAAAGAUAAGGAAAAUACAAAUAAUUCUCCUGUUCCAAAGGCUUCUUUCGUUUGGACCCAGGACAAAUCCAUACUCAGAAAUGCAUAUUAUUACAGUUGUUUCACUUGCAUAUUGAUCUUACUCAGA